rnacentral:rRNA from 1 species
CUCCUUGAGAGUCCUGAAGGAACGUUGAAGACGACGACGUUGAUAGGCCGGGUGUGUAAGCGCAGCGAUGCGUUGAGCUAACCGGUACUAAUGAACCGUGAGGCUUAACCUUACAACGCCGAAG